rnacentral:tRNA from 1 species
UGGGUUAUGGCUCAGCGGCCGAGUGCCUGCUUAGCAUGCGCGAGGUCCUGGGUUCAAUUCCUAGUACUCCAU